CCCCGUGGAGCUGGGAGCCCGAUGCGGGACUCGAUCCCGGGACUCCAGGAUCAUGACCUGAGCCGAAGGUAGUCGUCCAACCAACUGAGCCACCCAGGUGUCCCAACCUUAGUUUUCAUAUAUGUAAAAUGGAGUCAAUCAGAAUAAAGAUAUUACAACCGUGCCCAACGCAUCAGAAGCAGGAGACAAAUAAUUUCAAUAAAACGUGCUCUAGUGGAAACUCCGCCUGGAGGCCCAGAGAAGGAGAUGACGGGUGAGCCGGGUGUUGAAGGAUGAUGGAGGAGACGGGGCGGCGUUCCCAGCGGCCUGGAGGAGUCUGGCUCGCCCAGUGCCUGUCAUAUGCCCAGAGUACGAAAAAAGGUUAGCAGAACAGACACUCUGCUUUACAACAAGGCUUGCCUUUGAAGCUGAAGGACGAAGAAAAGUAUUUUCUACUAGGAAAAGCUCUUGCUCCAGCUCCAGGCUCAGAAAAAUGGAGGGCUCGGGAGGCUGCCUCAUGGUCUGUAUCUGCUGGAUAAGGAGCUUCUUCCUCCAGUCCAUGCCUACAGCAGCCUCGCCAACAUUUCCAAACACCUACUACAUGCAAGGAUCUAGGGCCACACGACCAGUAAGAGAUGCUGACUUGGAACCUCCAUCUAACCGUGGGAAGAGAAAUCUAACAAUUCAUAAGCGAGUAUCUUGGGGGGUCUAGGAUUGCCCCCUUAAUGACAUGCAGAGAGCAGCGAGGAACCUGGAGGGUGGCUAUCCUUCUUGUCCUUUUGUCAGUCUGGACUCUGCGACACCAUCAAUCCAAAUCAGCAUUUGUCCUCUGAGUUAGGAUGGAUGGAGCCUGGAGGAAAUUUUAAGUAGGGCGAGGAUGGACAGACACAUUUGCAAUGGAUGCUGGGUCUUGUCUUUUUUUUUUUCCCCCAGAGAAUGGCCAUCUAAAUGCUCACAAGGUAUGUUUCUCCUCCUUUGUAUUAAGGUCUCAGCUAUCGAGGGCUGCACCAGAGCUGUUUGUAAUUGCAUUCCAUCUCUGGGCUGCAAAUUACUCUGACAAUUUUCCUUGGGACUCUGUUUUACGUGCGCCCUGGUGGGUGUGAUUGUAUCUGAGCUAACUUUUCCAGUCAUUCACCUACUCACCUACCCAAGCACCUCUCCUUUAAAAAAUAAUACGCAAUAAAAUCUGAAGAACUCUUUUCACUCGGCACAAACGGCUCACACACAGAAAUCGAGACUUAAGCAAAAUCUUUGAACUGUCAGAUGUAAGUCUGUAAUGGACAGGAAACGUAUUAUAUGUAAUUUAAUCGCCAAUCUCUGUUCUCAACCCUCACAUUUCUCUUCUCAGAGAAAGGGCCUCUUUUCACACUCCCUUAUCUUUGCCUAAAGCCUCACCUCUGGAAGAAGCCGUAAGGAACCACCAAGAGACUUAAUUUGUUUGCAACAAGCUGGGAAGAUAAAAGUAAAAGAGUGUAAAUGAGGUUGACGCACUGAGGUUUUCUGUUCAGACUCUGAGUUGACACUCUGAGUUGACACUACGGUUUUAGUGCUUCCAAAUGUCACUUGCCAGGACCAUGGGAGGGGCCGCGUCUUGGUUCAAAGAUGCAGUUCAAGAAGGGGCUUCUCCACCCCAGUCCACAAGGAGAGUGUGGGAUUCCACUAAGCCAGGAGGAGAACCCUGUGCCUGACAAAUCCCUUCAAAUUAAUCCCCAACAUGAAAGGGCUUAGGGUCUCCUCGUCUGAUCAUUUUUUGAGCAUUAUCUCUAGCACCUGCCUGGUCUCAGGUGUACAGAGAGCUUAGGAGCUGGGAGGGAGAGGGAGCACGGGGUUUCAAUGCAGAGAUGCCCAGUUCAGCGACACACUGUGUGAUCCCUCUCACGUGGAAGCCACUUCAUGAGAUCGAACGCACAGGUGGACGGUCAGCUCUUCAGGGGGCUAGAGGAGUCCCGACCCCCGUGAGGACUUGGCAGCCCCCACUGCCGGGCUCGGGAAUGAGGUUGGUUUAGGGAAAGGCCGAGCUGAUGGUGCUGGGUGUGUGUGCUUAUGGGGUGGAGGUGAGCAGAACUCCUCUGUCCCCCAACGCGGCCUGUUACUUAAUGUUCCACCCACGGCCACAUUUUGAUACCACGAGCUCUGGUGGCUGGCUGUAACAGCGCCUGACUGGCGGAAAAUCGCAGUGGGAGCCGGGUUCUAGGACUCCAGUCCUUAAUUGAUCUAAGCUUCUGUCUCCAUGGCAAGAAGUAGGAAGAAGAAAUAUGUCUCCUAGACGAAGGGUCAGGGAAGGAGUAGUAAUGGUACUUCAGGUAUGCUGCUCGCCAUGGGGGGCUUCGGAGAAACACGCUUUUUUUCUUCUCCUUUUUCUUUUUUGGUCCAUAGAAAUGUAAGCAUUGCUGGAAUUUUUUCCCGGGGUGGUGGCCUUUGAAAAUCUUCCAGGAUGAAAUCACCUCUCGCCCUCCCUGUAGAAUAAAGCCGUGACUUGUUCAUGGCUAGGGUGGGCCCCGAACCGUUUCCUGAGAAAAGUUCCUGGCUUUGCCUGCCGGCCCUCUAGACCCCACAGCAGUCUAAAAUUUCUAGUCUACGGAUUGCCCCCUCGGUUAACAACAAACUACGGUCUCUCUCAGCGCCAAACGGAUGCCUUCCAACCCUGAGCCAGAGGCCGGGUGAGAAAGUCUCCCAUGAAGGGCAAUUUCAAAAUUAUUCCGGGCAUCACUCCUCUUGGUACUUUAGGUUCUUUCUUUCGGGUAUGGCCAGACAUGGGGAAAGUAAAUAGUCAGACAUUUAAUAUGUAGGUUCCAAAUUAAAUACAGAGUUGCGUUUCCAUUGUGGUAGGAAGCAGUUAAGCAUUUGGUUUGGAUCGGCUUGAGUUUGUGGAGCCGGGGCCCCGUCCCUCCGGGUUCCACUCUGAGAAACCUCAUAUCAGGAAACCGUGUGACUCCUAAGGACUGCAGAAAGCCCUCUGUCCACGAAGUUUGCUCUCAGAACUGACUUUAUCUCCCCCAACCCGAGUGUUUUGAGAUGAGAACCUGAAAUUCAAAUUUGCAACUCCAUGUAACAAGCCCAGGGCCCCCUUGUGGUGCACAACUUCUCAGGCUCCCCAUGCACACACCCCCUUAGUCUCCCUCAUCCUGUUAGCAUGUGCUUUGGUGGUGAGCUGUCUCAAAACUUUUCUGCAAUCAGGAAGUCGUAACAGGGGCACCUGGGUGGCUCAGCAGGUUAAAGCUUCUGCCUUUGGCUCAGGUCAUGAUCCCAGGGUCUUGGGAUCGAGCCCCACAUUGGGCUCUCUGCUUGGCAGGGAGCCUGCUUCUUCCUCUCUGUCUCUCUGCCCGCUUCUCUGCCUACUUGUGAUCUCUGUCUGUCACAUAAAUAAAUAAAAUCUUAAAAAAAAAAAAGUCAUAACAAGCAAACAAGUGUUAAAAAUCAUCUGUUUCAGAGGCUGCUUCUCCAAGUCUAUACAUCUCCAAGUCCAUACAU